rnacentral:lncRNA from 1 species
ACACAUACAAUAUGGAAGAAGUGGCCGCAUGGAACUUCCCAGGCCAGGUCAGAGAAGGCACUAUGGCUUCCCCUCUGUCCUCUCUUGAUCACGUGCUCUGGAGCGCCUGCUGCCAUGGGGUGGGACCUUCGAGAGCCCGUGGAGCCAUCAUGUGAGGAACUGUGGCCUCCCUGCAGCAGCCCAUGUUGGAGGCAGAGACUCCAGCCCCAGUCAAACCCUCAGAUGAUGGUAACCCCAGCCAGUGUCGUGAGGCAGCCUCCGGAGAGACCCUGAGCCAGGGCCACCCACUGAGCUUACCCUGGAUCCUGACCCCCAAAAACUGCAAGUCGAUAAAGGUUUGCUGAUGUUUUAAACUGCUAAAUUUUGGAGUGCUUUGUUACACAGCAGGAGAUAACCGACACACAUACUAAGAGUUGAGAACUUUUAUUAAACCUUUCCUUUGUGCCGAGCACUGGGCUAAAUGCAUCAAAAGGAUCUCACCAUCUUCCCAACAGCCCACAGGGAGCAGAGCUUUUCAUUACCAUCAGUCUCAGAGGACACGACUGGGGCUCAUAGAGGGGAAGAAACCUCUCCAUUUCACACAGCUGAUGUUGCUCCCAGAACCUUAAUGAUCCUUCUUUAGGAUUCAGAUGACAACCCCCUGCUAAACACCAUUGCUCUACAGGCACAUUUUGCAUAGAACUUGAACUUGAGGCUUUCAGAAUGCGUUUUCUCCUCCUCCCUGUCCUCACAGAUGUGAGGUACUCAACGUUUCCAUGAUGCUUUCAGCGUGAGCAUGGGCCACUGAAGAAAGACAGCCAGUGUGGAACACAGUUCAGCAAGGCCAAAGAGGAGCAGUGGCCUCAUCCCAGGACGUGCUGGGCAGGCACCACAGUGCCGGCGUCCCCACAUCCAGGACAAAGCUGAGUGCAAGUGUCACCGUGAGGUGGCCUGUGUGAUCCUGGCCCACUGACCCCCUCAGGUGAAAGAGAGCGGGAGACGCCUCUCAGCCAGGACUCAGACCACCAGCACGCAGCACCCAGUACCCACAGUCUCAGUUUCAGGCUUCUGCUCUUUCCCGGACCAUCAGGAGAAACGGCAACGGGAGAAGCAAAGAGAAGGCGUGGAGCCGAGAGGAGAAGGGAGGCCGUGCUCGUCAGGAAGCAGGUGAACGACCUUCAGGCUGCAGUUCCCACUGCACCCACCCCAGUCCCGGCCACAACAAUGGGAUACAAGGAAGCCUCCUGC